GCUCAGAGAGCCCUCUACAGGGAGGUCAUGCAGGAGAACUAUGCCAUUGUGGCCUCACUGGGUGUGGAGGAGCUGCACCUUUGACCUCCUCCAGAGUCUGCUCAAGGAAUGCCCUCUCAGGUACCAGGCCUCCAGCCAUCACCUCUCUAUGGGCAGGGACAUAGGAGUCGCUGCAUCUCGACCAAGGUUUGAGGCUUGCAGUCCCCUCACCCUUCAUUGCAUUCACUGGCCCAAAGUCCAGCCCCUGUGCUUUGCUUCUCUCCAAGGGCUGUGACCAGCACGUGUGUGACGGAUGUGGGAAUUUUGGUAAAAUUUCUGUUAUUCCAGUACAUCCCUCGGCUGCCCUCUGUAUUUGGUGUUGCUCAGCUCUGAGUGUGAAGAGCUGUGACAGGGUGAUACAAAUGGCUCAUGAAGACACUGACUGUGACUAACCCAUAUCAAUGGAAGACCUUACAGAGUCCACAGUAACCCCCAGGACUGAGCACUUGACAUCUAUCAAUGAGAGGUUCCCAGCUUGUCUGGGUGGAGCGCACGUGAACUCAGCAUGUUCUGAGGAGCGGGAAGAAGAGGGCUCCCAGAAACAGGGAGCUUUCCUGGAACUAAGACAAAGGGACAGACACAGGGAAAGGACACCCAAUGAGUUCCUACAGCAGUGUGGCUCAAGGGCUUUGUCCAGUAUGGAUUAUGUCCUAACCUUUACUUCUCUGUGGUAACCUAAGGACUUGCCCAUGCUGCGUUCCAGUUGACUAAUAAACCCUACUCUUUUUUAAAAGGCUGCUGGGUAUCACUGCAGAUACUUUCUGGGUGCAUUAAUCCCUGAAGAAUGUAACAGUCUCUGACCAGGAGUCUAUCUCAGCUGGACUUGCUGGGUACAGCUCAUGGCGUAAGGCAGGAGAGCUGGAGCCCAGAGACUCAGUCUCAGAGGCAUUAAGGCUGCAUGGCCUACCCUGAGGGAAGAGCAGGAUCCUUGGGGAUUUGGCACACUGAAGGGGUUCCUCUAGGGACUGUUUAAAAGCUGAGGUAUAGGACAGACUGAGGAUCCAUGACAGUGGGUGGCAGCUGGUGGGAUUCUGAAUGCAACAGGAGGAUUUUGCAAUAAGUAACUUGUAGCAGUGAAAACAAGACUAGUCAACGGAAAGUGGAAAAAAAUGGAGUAUAUCCACCUCCCUAAGAAGAGCAUCACAGAGCUGUGCAGUGGGAGCGUGUUCAGUGUUGGGAAAUUACACAAGGCUCAGCCGAGUGCAUGGCUGGAGAAGGAUGAUCGAAUCUAGGUCUAAACCCAGGUGGGAUUUUGAGAGAGUCCCAGGGCCACAGAGGCACCUGCA